GACGAACGCUGGCGGCGUGCCUAAUACAUGCAAGUUGAGCGCUGAAGGUUGGUACUUGUACCGACUGGAUGAGCAGCGAACGGGUGAGUAACGCGUGGGGAAUCUGCCUUUGAGCGGGGGACAACAUUUGGAAACGAAUGCUAAUACCGCAUAAAAACUUUAAACACAAGUUUUAAGUUUGAAAGAUGCAAUUGCAUCACUCAAAGAUGAUCCCGCGUUGUAUUAGCUAGUUGGUGAGGUAAAGGCUCACCAAGGCGAUGAUACAUAGCCGGCCUGAGAGGGUGAUCGGCCACAUUGGGACUGAGACACGGCCCAAACUCCUACGGGAGGCAGCAGUAGGGAAUCUUCGGCAAUGGACGAAAGGCUGACCGAGCAACGCCGCGUGAGUGAAGAAGGGUUUCGGAUCGUAAAACUCUGUUGGUAGAGAAGAACGUUGGUGGGAGUGGAAAGCGCAUCAAGUGACGGUAACUACCCAGAAAGGGACGGCUAACUACGUG
rnacentral:rRNA from 1 species